rnacentral:rRNA from 1 species
GGACCUGACUGCUAUCGGAUUGAUACUAAGCCAUGCGAGUCAUUGUAGCAAUACAAGGCAUACGGCUCAGUAACGCGUAGUCAACCUAACCUAUGGACGGGAAUAACCUCGGGAAACUGAGAAUAAUGCCCGAUAGAACAUUAUGCCUGGAAUGGUUUAUGUUCCAAAUGAUUUAUCGCCGUAGGAUGGGACUGCGGCCUAUCAGUUUGUUGGUGAGGUAAUGGCCCACCAAGACUAUUACAGGUACGGGCUCUGAGAGGAGUAGCCCGGAGAUGGGUACUGAGACACGGACCCAGGCCCUAUGGGGCGCAGCAGGCGAGAAAACUUUGCAAUGUGCGAAAGCACGACAAGGUUAAUCCGAGUGGUUUCUGCUAAAGAAAUCUUUUGUUAGUCCUAGAAACACUAACGAAUAAGGGGUGGGCAAGUUCUGGUGUCAA